rnacentral:rRNA from 1 species
UACGGGGGGGGCAAGCGUUGUUCCGAAUUACUGGGCGUAAAGGGCGCGUAGGCGGCUCUUCAAGUCAGCCGUGAAAUCUCCGGGCUUAACCUGGAAGGGUCGGUUGAUACUGUCGAGCUAGAGUGUAGAAGAGGCAACUGGAAUUCCGUGUGUAGCGGUGAAAUGCGUAGAUAUACGGAGGAACACCUGCGGCGAAGGCGGGUUGCUGGGCUAACACUGACGCUGAGGCGCGAAAGCCAGGGUAACAAACGGG